UGAUAAAAAGAGGAGUUGAACCCCUAUCAAUGGGACUACAGCCCACCGCCUAAACAUUCGGCCAUUUUACC
rnacentral:tRNA from 1 species